GGAAUCUUGCGCAAUGGGCGAAAGCCUGACGCAGCAACGCCGCGUGGGUGAAGAAGGCCUUAGGGUUGUAAACCCCUUUCAGCGGGGAAGAUAAUGACGGUACCCGCAGAAGAAGCCCCGGCUAACUCCGUGCCAGCAGCCGCGGUAAUACGGAGGGGACUAGCGUUGUUCGGAAUUACUGGGCGUAAAGCGCACGUAGGCGGAUUUGUAAGUCAGGGGUGAAAUCCCGGGGCUCAACCUCGGAACUGCCUUUGAUACUGCAAAUCUCGAGUCCGGAAGAGGUGAGUGGAAUUCCUAGUGUAGAGGUGAAAUUCGUAGAUAUUAGGAAGAACACCAGUGGCGAAGGCGGCUCACUGGUCCGGUACUGACGCUGAGGUGCGAAAGCGUGGGGAGCAA
rnacentral:rRNA from 1 species